rnacentral:rRNA from 1 species
GAUGAACGCUAGCGGCAGGCUUAAUACAUGCAAGUUGAGGGGCAGCAUGAUAUACGCGAGUAUAUUGAUGGCGACCGGCGGACGGGUGAGUAAUAGGUAGGAGACCUACCUCAUACAGGGGGAUAGCAUAGAGAAAUCUGUGGUAAUACCCCAUGAGGUUAUAUGAAUAGAGGCAUAUAAUCAAAGCAUAAGCGAUUAUGCGGUAUGAGAGGGGCCUACUGACCAUUAGCUAGUUGGUGAGGUAAGGGCUCACCAAGGCGAAGAUGGUUAGGGGUUUUGAGAGAGAGACCCCCCACAUUGGAACUGAGAGACGGUCCAGACUCCUACGGGAGGCAGCAGCUAAGAAUAUUCCGCAAUGGACGAAAGUCUGACGGAGCGACGCCGCGUGGAUGAAGAAGGCCGAAAGGUUGUAAAGUUCUUUUGCUAGGGGAGAAUAAGUGAGGGAGGGAAUGCCCUCAUGAUGACAAGGACUAGCGAAUAAGCCCCGG